ACAUGCACACAGAGGAGGAACACACUGAAAUCUGACUGCGGAGGCCUUUUUCGUGUGUGGGCCUGUUUUUUAUUUUUUGCUUGAGAAAACCGAUCUGUUUUAAAACAGGCAGGAGGACUGAGUGCCAGAAGAAACAGGGUGAACAAGAGAGAAAGAAAGGGAAGAAAGUAUUUCCUGAAAAUGGAAAGAGACUGAUUUGCAAACAAGCAAAGUUUGCCUAUGAAUUCGUUGAAAAAAUAUGGAAACCCCUUUUCCCUACUUUGCCAUGAUCUCUUAACUCAUAAAAGUCCCAUUCUGUUUGGUAUUGUGUGAUGGAAUAGGAGGCCAGCGAGCCCCCUGGCUCUUUACGAUGGCUGUGCUGUGUGUGCAGCUCUGCCAUGUCAUGAUGUGAUUCCUUGGCGCGCGCGCCGCCUGGCCCGUUAAAGACAAACUCUAUGUGAACCUUCUGAAAGGGAGAUGGCAGCGGGCCUGGGUCAACACAUUGAGAGGGGGAGACAUGGGAGCCAGGGACCAUGCAGAAUGUUUGUCCAAACCUGAGAAACCUCCAUUAACUGUGUAGUAAGGAGUGGGACAGGCCAACCAUGACAUGUACAGGCUGAACCAGAGGCUAGGUUAUAGAUCAGUGGAGGCUCCUCCUCAGAGGAAAGGGAGGAUCAUCCAACUCAGUGAAUUUAUCAAAAAUCUAAAUAGUGAAACAUUAAAAAAGUUAUAAUUUUUUUAGAUAAAACAAUACUAAAUAUAUUCUCAUCACCAAAUAACCAAUUAAAAGACAAAGAAGUGUACAGUAGCCUCAACAGGGUAGCUCCACGGUGUAGCCAGAGGACAGCUAGUUUUCAUCCUCCUUUCGAUAU